GAUGAACGCUGGCGGUAUGCUUAACACAUGCAAGUCGAACGGACUCUUCGGAGUUAGUGGCGGACGUGUGAGUAACGCGUGAGAAUCUGGCUUUGGGUUCGGGACAACCACUGGAAACGGUGGCUAAUACCGGAUGUGCCGAGAGGUAAAAGAGAAAUUGCCUGAAGAUGAGCUCGCGUCUGAUUAGCUAGUUGGUGAGGUAAAGGCUCACCAAGGCAGCGAUCAGUAGCUGGUCUGAGAGGAUGACCAGCCACACUGGGACUGAGACACGGCCCAGACUCAUACGGGAGGCAGCAGUGGGGAAUUUUCCGCAAUGGGCGAAAGCCUGACGGAGAAAUACCGUGUGAGGGAAGAAGGCUCGUGGGUUGUAAAGCUUUUUUCUUAGGGAAGAACAAAAUGACGGUACCUAAGGAAUAAGCAUCGGCUAACUACGUG
rnacentral:rRNA from 1 species